rnacentral:rRNA from 1 species
AGGGUUUGAUCAUGGCUCAGGAUGAACGCUAGCGGCAAGCUUAACACAUGCAAGUCGAACGGUAACUUUUGGUGCUUGCACCGAAAGACGAGUGGCGGACGGGUGCGUAACGCGUAUGCAAUCUACCUUUUACUAGGGUAUAGCCCAGAGAAAUUUGGAUUAAUCCCCUAUAAUAUCAAAAUUCCGCAUGGUUUUUUGAUUAAAGCUUCGGUGGUAAAAGAUGAGCAUGCGUCCUAUUAGUUUGUAGGUGAGGUAACGGCUCACCUAGACUACGAUAGGUAGGGGCCCUGAGAGGGGGAUCCCCCACACUGGUACUGAGACACGGACCAGACUCCUACGGGAGGCAGCAGUGAGGAAUAUUGGACAAUGGACGAAAGUCUGAUCCAGCUAUGCCGCGUGCAGGAUGACAGCCCUACGGGUUGUAAACUGCUUUUAUACAGGAAGAAAAAUCCCGACGUGUCGGGGCUUGACGGUACUGUAAGAAUAAGGAUCGGCUAACUUCGUGCCAGCAGCCGCGGUAAUACGGAGGAUCCAAGCGUUAUCCGGAAUUAUUGGGUUUAAAGGGUCCGCAGGCUGUUUUUUAAGUCAGAGGUGAAAUCCUGCAGCUCAACUGUAGAAUUGCCUUUGAAACUGAAAGACUUGAGUUAUUGUGAAGUGGUUAGAAUGUGUGGUGUAGCGGUGAAAUGCAUAGAUAUCACACAGAAUACCAAUUGCGAAGGCAGAUCACUAACAAUUAACUGACGCUCAGGGACGAAAGCGUGGGUAGCGAACAGGAUUAGAUACCCUGGUAGUCCACGCCGUAAACGAUGGAUACUAGCUGUAUGUCUACCUCAGGUAGAUGUGUGGCCAAGCGAAAGUGAUAAGUAUCCCACCUGGGGGAGUACGAUCGCAAGAUUGAAACUCAAAGGAAUU